GUGAAAGUGAAAGUAUUGAGCCUCCGUUCAGAGCAGCAGGAGGAGGAAGGUGGAGCUGAGGCAGAUUGUGGAGCUGUGGUUUGUCAGAGAUCAGUUGUGAUUAUCUGGCAGCAGCACUGAAGUCCAACCCCUCCCAUCUGAGAGAGCUGUACCCGAGUAACAACAACCAGCUGCAGGAUCCAGGAGUGAAGCAUCUGUGUGGUUUCCUGGAGAGUCCAGGAUGUGGACUUGAAACUCUGCGAUUGUGGAGCUGUGGUUUGUCAGAGAUCAGCUGUGAUUAUCUGGCAGCAGCGCUGAAGUCCAACCCCUCCCAUCUGAGAGAGCUGGACCUGUGGGGAAACAACCUGAAGGAUCCAGAUGUGAAGCAUCUGUCUGAUCUUCAGCAGAGUCCAGACUACAGACUGGAGACUCUGAGGUGGAGGUGAUGAUGGUAAACAGGACGGUGUGUGUGCUGAGAGAGGAGGAGCUGUGUCCUGAUGAUCCAGAGAGGUUGAAGCAGCAGCAGCUUGUGUGUAGAGACGCUCUGACUGGGCCAUGUUACUGGGAGGUGGAGAGGAGAGCUUCAUCCAGCAGUGACUGACAGAGGAAUGAGAAGAAGUGCAGAUGACUGUCAGUGCUGCAGAGUGAACUGCUCUGAGAACAGCUCCACUGUCAGACACAAUGUAGAGUCCAGCAUCAUCCCUGUGUGUCCCUCUGGAUCUGACAGAGGAUCAUCAGUGGAUCUGGACUGCUCUGCUGCUGCUCUGUCCUUCUACAGUCUCUGCACAGUCUCUGUCUGACUCUGGCUUCAGACCCUCCUGGAUCAAACUCACCUGGAAAGACUUUCAAACAUCACUCAAUAGAUUUGAAUACAGAAUAGAUUUGAUAUAUACUGUAGAUGUACUGUAGAGUUGCAGUUUGUCACUUGUAAAUACAGUCUGUGAGCAGCUAUGAGCUGAAAGAUCUUUCUAGAAACACCAAAUGUUUUCACUCUUCUGUUGCUUUUUCAUAUAUUUCCACAACAUUAAUAUUGAUCCCACCUGUCUCACAUGUUCCAUGCUUUUAUACAUAAGAACAGGACACGUGUGAUCUGAGCGCUGCUGUGGUUGCUGUGCUGCACGUCUUCAUUUAGAUAACAGAGACAUCUAGUGGUUCAGAGGGAGAACUGCAGGAGGUGGAGCUGUGUUUUAGCAUGGAAAACUUUUUAUCUUUUAGGCGCAGAUACAAAUAUGACAAGUAUCAGUGUGAGAUACAAAAGGUCACAUCAGUCAGCAGAGGGAACAGUGAUCACACAGCAAUGUAAGAAUAGAAACAUAACAGUGAAUCUGGACAUGUAUACAGAUGGAAGCAAACAAACAGGAUGUAACACUACAUUAAAGCCACAAAUGGGAAGAAAACAAAGCCAAAGGAAAAUAUAUUUGAUCUCAGGAAUCCAAAUCAGAUGCUUUAGAGCAGGGGUCGGCAACCCGGGGCACGCGUGUCAUAGCUGGCACGUGAAGGUUUAACUGAUGGCACGACCAUAGCUGGACUGGCCAUCGGGCAUACCGAUGGUGAUUUUUCGUUUUCAUGGGCCGAUGAUGGUUUUUUUUUUGUUUUUUUGUAACGGUAUAAACAAUGAAAGGUGGUGGAUUGGCCAGAUGCUGGGAGAUGUGUAAAAAUGUGUAAAAAUAACUAAAUUGUUUGGUGGUGGCAUCGCGGAGCUUCCACAGAUUCAGUAACAUUAGCAAGUGGUGGAGGCCAGCAUGUGGAUGAGGGAAGGGGAGGCAGGAGGAGCAGAGACCCGAGGCGGCCGCCGGUCCGAGUGUCAGGUGAACUGAACUUCAGGUAAGAAGUUAUGACCUGCAGUCUAUCUGGGUCAGAUAUAAACCACCUUUUUAUAGUCAGUUACAAUAACUCGUACUGCGUACUAGCUAGCAUGACGGAGUUUCUAUACAGCUGGGUGGUGCUAUGAUGUUACUGAUUGUGAACUUUACAGUGGCUGCAAAAGUAUUUGGCCUCCUUGAAAUUUCCCACAUUUUGUCACAUUACAGCCACAAACAUGAAUCAAUUUUAUUGGAAUUCCAGGUGAAAGACCAACACAAAGUGGUGAACACGUGAGAAGUGGAACGAAAAUCAUACAUGAUUCCAAACAUAUUUUACAAAUAAAUAACUGCAAAGUGGGGUGUGCGUAAUUAUUCUGUCAUGGAAAAACACACUGCCAUCAACUUCUGUUUUGUUUUUGUCAAAAUCACUGUAAUAUAAUCACUGUACCUUUAUAUACAUGUGACUUAUAUUAAUGCUGCUGCCCUCUUGUGGCUAAAGUGUAAUUAUGUUAUUGUUAUUAGGGAAAACAUUUGAGAGUAACAUGCCAAAUGAGUCAGCACUUUGGCUUUAGCUUAAGAAAUCCUAAUUUUUAUGUCAUCAAUUAUAGUUGCAUGUAUUCAUUAUCAUAAUUUAACCUUUAAUAUUGAUGUCUUAAAUUUAUUUUGAAUAAAUUAGCAAUUUUAUGGUGUUUAU